AUUAACGCUGGCGGCGUGCAUAACACAUGCAAGUCGAACGAUGAAACUUUAAUGAACCCUUCGGGGAGAAUUAAAGCGGAUUAGUGGCGAACGGGUGAGUAACGCGUGAGUAACCUGCCUUACACAAGGGGAUAGCCUUUGGAAACGAAGAAUAAUACCCUAUAAAACCAUAAAAGCACAUGCAAUUAUGGUCAAAGUGAUAGCGGUGUAAGAUGGACUUGCGUCUGAUUAGCUAGUUGGUGAGAUAAAAGCCCACCAAGGCAACGAUCAGUAGCCGGCUUGAGAGAGUGUACGGCCACAUUGGGACUGAGACACGGCCCAGACUCCUACGGGAGGCAGCAGUGGGGAAUUUUGAACAAUGGGGGAAACCCUGAUGCAGCGACGCCGCGUGAUUUAGAAGGCCUUCGGGUUGUAAAAAUCUUUUGUAUAGGAAGAAAAUGACAGUACUAUACGAAUAAGGUCCGGCUAAUUACGUG
rnacentral:rRNA from 1 species